UCGACUGUACUUAAUAUGGAUUAUUUCUAAAGUCUUUUCGAUACUCUUCAGUUUCCUUUUAACUGACGAACUCUUCAACGUUGAUGACGAGCAAUAAGUCUGCGCGGUCGAGCACGAAGGCCCGCACUUCAAAACCAUUUUCUGUUCAUUCAGAGAAUAAUUGAAUUGCUUUGAUGACUACCCCUUGAUACCAUUCCAAUCUCGGUGGAAGCCGCGUGACUUUUCCGAAGCGU
rnacentral:snoRNA from 1 species